UACAGAGGGUGCAAGCGUUAAUCGGAAUUACUGGGCGUAAAGCGUGCGUAGACGGUUGCGUAAGUCAGAUGUGAAAGCCCCGGGCUCAACCUGGGAAUUGCAUUUGAGACUGCGUAGCUAGGGUGCGGAAGAGGGAAGCGGAAUUUCCGGUGUAGCGGUGAAAUGCGUAGAUAUCGGGAGGAACACCAGUGGCGAAGGCGACUUCCUGGCCUGUUCUUGACGCUGAGGCGCGAAAGCUAGGGGAGCAAACGGG
rnacentral:rRNA from 1 species